rnacentral:rRNA from 1 species
UACGGAGGGUGCAAGCGUUAAUCGGAAUUACUGGGCGUAAAGCGUGCGCAGGCGGUUUUGUAAGUCUGAUGUGAAAUCCCCGGGCUCAACCUGGGAAUUGCAUUGGAGACUGCAAGGCUAGAAUCUGGGAGAGGGGGGUAGAAUUCCACGUGUAGCAGUGAAAUGCGUAGAGAUGUGGAGGAACACCGAUGGCGAAGGCAGCCCCCUGGGUCAAGAUUGACGCUCAUGCACGAAAGCGUGGGGAGCAAACAGG